rnacentral:rRNA from 1 species
UAGGGAAUCUUCCACAAUGGGCGAAAGCCUGAUGGAGCAACGCCGCGUGUGUGAUGAAGGCUUUCGGGUCGUAAAGCACUGUUGUAUGGGAAGAACAGCUAGAAUAGGAAAUGAUUUUAGUUUGACGGUACCAUACCAGAAAGGGACGGCUAAUACGUGCCAG